rnacentral:lncRNA from 10 species
GGAAAAGCUAAAGGAAAAGGCCUGACAGAUUUGUAGUCAUUGGAUUAGCUCCAGCCAUGAUGCGAGUCACUGAAGAGGAUUUGCAAACCCACUGUGUCCACACAUUCUGCCUUCUACAGCCCCUCACUGCGCAUCCCCACUUCUCUGAACCUUGACCUUCAAGUGCUCUGGAGAAAGUCACCUUCCCAGGUCACAUGGUCCCUUUUAAGACUCCUCCAGUGCAGAGGAGUUGAGGGGUCACUGCUGUCGGGAGGGCCAACUACAGGUACCACUCCACUGUGAGAAAUGAGGCUGAGACCAGGAGUGCCUUUCAAAGCCUCAGAAGUCAGCCACUUAGUUCUCCCAGCCACAUCUUGAAGCAUUUUUACUAUCAAGAAGGAUCUGCAUGCAAAUUUCAGAAUCUGUCUGUCAGUUCAUUUUGCAGAGUGUUGGAACAGUGGCAUAAAAGGAAAUCCAGUGAGACAAGGUAAUGGGUGUGGAUGACUGCUAAUGGGACCUUCAAGUCCCUAGGCUGUCCGCCCUGUCUUCCUUAAGCACAUGUUUGGAGUUCAAGUUCAGUGAGGUGGAGUUGUGUUCUGAUUUGUUGAUUUUUGGAAAAUACACACACACACACACACACACACACACACACACACACACCCCCACACACACACACACCAGAAAAAUCCAAAAUCAGUUUUCUUUCGGGUGCUUUGUUUUUAAAGAGAAUCAAGAUGUUAACCAUUCAUAUAUUCAAUGAGGGCAGAGGCUUCUUUUCAUACACUAGGUAUGGGGAUAUUAAGAACAAUUUUCCUCAUAGGCUAAAAAUUAUUUCUUUGUUUUCUGCUAUACACAGUGUGCAUUUGGAAAGGCAGAGUGACACUGCUUGUGAACAGGAUAUUUCUUUACAAUUUUUGUUACUGUUUUUCAAAAAUGUUUUCCUGCUCAAGAUUGAGUACCUACUUUUUAAAAGAAAAUUAAACUGAAAAUUGUAACAGUAACACAGCUGGGAUGUCUGACUUUACAGUUUAGGAGUCGAAAUAUAACACCCGAGUACUGUCUCAAAGGGCAGUGUUUGAGGUCCCAGUAUACUGAGUCUCUUUAUCAACCCUGCUUCUGCCUUCACCUCCCCUUCUUCAUAUGUCAAGAAAACUCCAAUAUAUCCAUCUGGCUCUUCUUAACAGAACCGAGCUAGGUAGGGAAUUAGAGAGUCCCUCUGCCUGUGGCCACUGCCUUAGUACAGGAAUCACGGUGGUCAUUAAUGUGGGUCCUAAGCACUGAUCACUGCCACUCCACUGGUUUUAUUUCAG